AUUGAUCGCUGGCGGCAGGCUUAACACCUGCUAGUCGAGCGAGCGGCGGACGGGUGAGUAAUGUCUGGGAAACUGCCUGAUGGAGGCGGAUAACUCCUGGAAACGGUAGCUAAUACCGCAUACCAUCAGAUGUGCCCAGAUGGGAUUAGCUAGUAGGUGGGGUAAUGGCUCACCUAGGCGACGAUCCCUACCUGGUCUGAGAGGAUGACCAGCGAAACUGGAACUGAGACACGGUCCAGACUCCGACGGGAGGCAGGAGUGGGGAAUAGUGGAAAAUGGGCGCAAGGAUGAUGCAGCCAUGCCGCGUGUGUGAAGAAGGCAUUCGGGUUGUAAAGCACUUUCAGCGAGGAGGCGGUACUCGCAGAAGAAGCACCGGCUAACUCCGUGCCAGCAGCCGCGGUAAUAC
rnacentral:rRNA from 1 species